rnacentral:rRNA from 1 species
CCGACGGUGAGGGAUGAAGCCCUGGGGCGCAAACGGGAUUAGAUACCCCGGUAGUCCAGGGUGUAAACGCUGCGGGCUUGGUGUUGGGGGUCCUUUGAGGGCGCCCAGUGCCGGAGAGAAGUUGUUAAGCCUGCUGCUUGGGGAGUACGUCCGCAAGGAUGAAACUUAAAGGAAUUGGCGGGGGAGCACCGCAACGGGAGGAGCGUGCGGUUCAAUUGGAUUCAACGCCGGACAACUCACCAGGAGCGACGGUUACAUGAAGGCCAGGCUGAUGACCUUGCCUGAUUUUCCGAGAGGUGGUGCAUGGCCGUCGUCAGUUCGUACCG